UGAAGCUGGGUGCCAAGGAAGC
rnacentral:piRNA from 1 species